rnacentral:rRNA from 1 species
CCUACGGGUGGCAGCAGUGGGGGAUAUUGCACAAUGGAGGAAACUCUGAUGCAGCGACGCCGCGUGAGGGAAGACGGUCUUCGGAUUGUAAACCUCUGUCUUUGGGGAAGAAAAUGACGGUACCCAAAGAGGAAGCUCCGGAUCACUACGUGCCAGCAGCCGCGGUAAUACGUAGGGAGCGAGCGUUGUCCGGAAUUACUGGGUGGUAAGGGAGCGUCGGGGGGCGAGAAAGUUGAAUGUUAAAUCUACCGGAUAAAGUGGGAGCUGCGUUCGAAACUGGUUGUCUUGAGUGAAGUAGAGGCAGGCGGAAUUCCGAGGGUAGCAGUGAAAUGCGUAGAUAUUUGGAGGAACACCAGUGGCGAAGGCGGCCAGCUGGGCUUUAACUGACGCUGAGGCUCGAAAGCGUGGGGAGCAAACAGGAUUAGAUACCCGGGUAGUC